rnacentral:lncRNA from 1 species
AAUAUCUAUACUAUUAAACGAGAAGACCUCAUUUUUGGUGUCGCUUCUCCUCCUUCCACAAUAAAUUGAUCAUUGUAACUGUAUGUCCUAUAGGUACCAUGCAUAGUCGCAUUUGUCAUCCAUUCUUAUGAUUAUUCAGUUUCGGUUAUUUUGGGAGAAAAACGGAAAAAAGAAGUCCGGAUAUGUGUCCGUCAUCACCCCGGCUUUUAUUCAUAGACAACUUCCUCUUCCGUUUAUUUUUCCAGAAGUUUUGUAAAUUUACAUUACAUACCCUAUAUUAUCAUGUUUUAUUUAAGAUUCAUUGACUGAAUCGUUAUAUAAGAAUAUUGUCCCAAGUGUAAACAACAACACAGGCCGUGUGAAAAUAAACAAAAUCAUUUUUUUCAUUCACUUAAGUUUAUUUUUCCAGAAGUUUUGUAAAUUUACAUUACAUACCCUAUAUUAGUCCAAAUAAUUAUGACGUCUGGCAAGGCUAUUGUGGGAUCAAAAAAAGUCAAAAUAGAAAAAUACCCACAGCAGACGGCAUGAUUAUCUGGACUAACCCUAUAUUAUCAUGUUUUAUUUAAGAUUUAUUGACUGAAUCGUUAUAUAAGAAUAUUGUCCCAAGUGUAAACAACAACACAGGCCGCGUGAAAAUAAACACAAUCAUUUGUGUAAUUCACUUAUCGUCACGUAAAUAACGACACAUGCAUAGCCUAUAUUAUCAUGUUUUAUUUAAGAUUCAUGCAAGCCGGGAUUUCAUAAUCAGGACCCUCAAAUCACCCCUCAAAUGAACGUUAGUCAUUUAUACGAGAUUCAAAUCCUACCAUUGGCAUGUUAAUAGGGCUUUCAAAUGGAAAAGCACUGAUGGAAUGUUCUACAAGCACAUUUUAUUAUCUAAUAAUAAUGGUAUAUAAGCAGUUUCAUUUGUUUCAUGAUUGAAGCGGUGCAAAUUUUUAAUUUAAUUUGACUUUUAUCAAAAAUGCAUUGUACCAAAGAGGAAGAAUAAUUGUGGCAUAAGGCCAGAAACACAAAAAAAAUUCGAAUUUAACAGAAAGGAAACACAUAACGGAGGGCUUUUUUAUAACUUAUAUGAAAUUCCCCAGUCAAAAUAUAUUUUACCAAAAAUCAGCCUACAACAGUUUACAAGCUGUAUAUGCCCGCGAUUUCGCGGGUGUGUUCUAGUA